rnacentral:rRNA from 1 species
UACGUAGGUGGCGAGCGUUGUCCGGAUUUACUGGGCGUAAAGAGCGCGCAGGCGGUCGUACAAGUCGCGUGUGAAAGCCCCCGGCUCAACUGGGGAGGGUCACGCGAUACUGUUCGACUCGAAGGCAGGAGAGGGUAGUGGAAUUCCCGGUGUAGUGGUGAAAUUCGUAGAUAUCGGGAGGAACACCGGUGGCGAAGGCGGCGACCUGGGUCGAGACUGACGCUGAGGCGCGAAAGCGUGGGGAGCAAACAGG